rnacentral:rRNA from 1 species
UACGAAGGUCCCAAGCGUUGUUCGGAUUUACUGGGCGUAAAGAGUCUGUAGGCGGUGGGGUAAGUCAGAUGUGAAAUCCCGGGGCUCAACCCCGGAACUGCAUCCGAUACUGCCUUACUUGAGGGUCGGAGGGGAGUCUGGAAUUCUCGGUGUAGCAGUGAAAUGCGUAGAUAUCGAGAGGAACACUAGUGGCGAAGGCGAGACUCUGGACGACAACUGACGCUGAGAGACGAAGGCCAGGGGAGCGAAA